rnacentral:rRNA from 1 species
AGUUGCAGGGUAUAGACCCGAAACCCGGUGAUCUAGCCAUGGGCAGGUUGAAGGUUGGGUAACACUAACUGGAGGACCGAACCGACUAAUGUUGAAAAAUUAGCGGAUGACCUGUGGCUGGGGGUGAAAGGCCAAUCAAACCGGGAGAUAGCUGGUUCUCCCCGAAAGCUAUUUAGGUAGCGCCUCGUGAAUUCAUCUCCGGGGGUAGAGCACUGUUUCGGCUAGGGGGCCAUCCCGGCUUACCAACCCGAUGCAAACUGCGAAUACCGGAGAAUGUUAUCACGGGAGACACACGGCGGGUGCUAACGUCCGUCGUGAAGAGGGAAACAACCCAGACCGCCAGCUAAGGUCCCAAAGUCAUGGUUAAGUGGGAAACGAUGUGGGAAGGCCCAGACAGCCAGGAUGUUGGCUUAGAAGCAGCCAUCAUUUAAAGAAAGCGUAAUAGCUCACUGGUCGAGUCGGCCUGCGCGGAAGAUGUAACGGGGCUAAACCAUGCACCGAAGCUGCGGCAGCGACACUCAGGUGUUGUUGGGUAGGGGAGCGUUCUGUAAGCCUGCGAAGGUGGCCUGUGAGGGUUGCUGGAGGUAUCAGAAGUGCGAAUGCUGACAUAAGUAACGAUAAAGCGGGUGAAAAGCCCGCUCGCCGGAAGACCAAGGGUUCCUGUCCAACGUUAAUCGGGGCAGGGUGAGUCGACCCCUAAGGCGAGGCCGAAAGGCGUAGUCGAUGGGAAACGGGUUAAUAUUCCCGUACUUGGUGUUACUGCGAAGGGGGGACGGAGAAGGCUAUGUUGGCCGGGCGACGGUUGUCCCGGUUUAAGCGUGUAGGUGUGUGUUCCAGGUAAAUCCGGUUCACUUUAACACUGAGGCGUGACGACGAGGCACUACGGUGCUGAAGCAACAAAUGCCCUGCUUCCAGGAAAAGCCUCUAAGCAUCAGGUAACAUCAAAUCGUACCCCAAACCGACACAGGUGGUCAGGUAGAGAAUACCAAGGCGCUUGAGAGAACUCGGGUGAAGGAACUAGGCAAAAUGGUGCCGUAACUUCGGGAGAAGGCACGCUGACACGUAGGUGAAGUGAUUUACUCAUGGAGCUGAAGUCAGUCGAAGAUACCAGCUGGCUGCAACUGUUUAUUAAAAACACAGCACUGUGCAAACACGAAAGUGGACGUAUACGGUGUGACGCCUGCCCGGUGCCGGAAGGUUAAUUGAUGGGGUCAGCGCAAGCGAAGCUCCUGAUCGAAGCCCCGGUAAACGGCGGCCGUAACUAUAACGGUCCUAAGGUAGCGAAAUUCCUUGUCGGGUAAGUUCCGACCUGCACGAAUGGCGUAAUGAUGGCCAGGCUGUCUCCACCCGAGACUCAGUGAAAUUGAACUCGCUGUGAAGAUGCAGUGUACCCGCGGCAAGACGGAAAGACCCCGUGAACCUUUACUAUAGCUUGACACUGAACAUUGAGCCUUGAUGUGUAGGAUAGGUGGGAGGCUUUGAAGUGUGGACGCCAGUCUGCAUGGAGCCGACCUUGAAAUACCACCCUUUAAUGUUUGAUGUUCUAACGUGGACCCGUGAUCCGGGUUGCGGACAGUGUCUGGUGGGUAGUUUGACUGGGGCGGUCUCCUCCUAAAGAGUAACGGAGGAGCACGAAGGUUGGCUAAUCCUGGUCGGACAUCAGGAGGUUAGUGCAAUGGCAUAAGCCAGCUUGACUGCGAGCGUGACGGCGCGAGCAGGUGCGAAAGCAGGUCAUAGUGAUCCGGUGGUUCUGAAUGGAAGGGCCAUCGCUCAACGGAUAAAAGGUACUCCGGGGAUAACAGGCUGAUACCGCCCAAGAGUUCAUAUCGACGGCGGUGUUUGGCACCUCGAUGUCGGCUCAUCACAUCCUGGGGCUGAAGUAGGUCCCAAGGGUAUGGCUGUUCGCCAUUUAAAGUGGUACGCGAGCUGGGUUUAGAACGUCGUGAGACAGUUCGGUCCCUAUCUGCCGUGGGCGCUGGAGAACUGAGGGGGGCUGCUCCUAGUACGAGAGGACCGGAGUGGACGCAUCACUGGUGUUCGGGUUGUCAUGCCAAUGGCACUGCCCGGUAGCUAAAUGCGGAAGAGAUAAGUGCUGAAAGCAUCUAAGCACGAAACUUGCCCCGAGA